rnacentral:rRNA from 1 species
AUUGAACGCUGGCGGCAGGCCUAACACAUGCCAGUCGAGCGGAUGAAGGGAGCUGGCUCCUGGAUUCAGCGGCGGACGGGUGUGUAAUGCCUAGGAAUCUGCCUGGGAGGGGGGGAUAACGUCCGGAAACGGGCGCUAAUACCGCAUACGUCGUGAGUGAGAGAGUGGGGGAUCUUCGGACCUCACGCUCUCACAUGAUCCUAGGUCGGAUUAGCUAGUUGGUGGGGUAAAGGCCUACCAAGGCGACGAUCCGUAACUGGUCUGAGAGGAUGAUCAGCCACACUGGAACUGAGACACGGUCCAGACUCCUACGGGAGGCAGCAGUGGGGAAUAUUGGACAAUGGGCGAAAGCCUGAUCCAGCCAUGCCGCGUGUGUGAAGAAGGUCUUCGGAUUGUAAAGCACUUUUAGUUGGGAGGAAGGGCAGUAAGUUAAUACCUUGCUGUUUUGACGGUACCAACAGAAUAAGCACCGGCUAACUUCGUG